UACGUAGGGUGCGAGCGUGAAUCGGAAUUACUGGGCGUAAAGCGUGCGCAGGCGUUCUGUUAAGACCGAUGUGAAAUCCCCGGGCUUAACCUGGGAACUGCAUUGGUGACUGGCAGGCUUUGAGUGUGGCAGAGGGAGGUAGAAUUCCACGUGUAGCAGUGAAAUGCGUAGAGAUGUGGAGGAAUACCGAGGGCGAAGGCAGCCUCCUGGGCCAAAACUGACGCUCAUGCACGAAAGAGUGGGGAGCAAACAGG
rnacentral:rRNA from 1 species